AGUGAACGCUGGCGGUAGGCCUAACACAUGCAAGUCGAACGGCAGCACAGUAAGAGCUUGCUCUUACGGGUGGCGAGUGGCGGACGGGUGAGGAAUACAUCGGAAUCUACUUUUUCGUGGGGGAUAACGUAGGGAAACUUACGCUAAUACCGCAUACGACCUACGGGUGAAAGCAGGGGAUCUUCGGACCUUGCGCGAUUGAAUGAGCCGAUGUCGGAUUAGCUAGUUGGGGGGGUAAAGGCCCACCAAGGCGACGAUCCGUAGCUGGUCUGAGAGGCUGAUCAGCCACACUGGAGCUGAGACACGGUCCAGACUCCUACGAGAGGCAGCAGUGGGGAAUAUUGGACAAUGGGCGCAAGCCUGAUCCAGCCAUACCGCGUGGGUGAAGAAGGCCUUCGGGUUGUAAAGCCCUUUUGUUGGGAAAGAAAAGCAGCAGGUUAAUACCCCGCUGUUCUGACGGUACCCAAAGAAUAAGCACCGGCUAACUUCGUG
rnacentral:rRNA from 1 species